rnacentral:rRNA from 1 species
AUACGUAGGUGACAAGCGUUAUCCGGAUUUACUGGGCGUAAAGGGCGUGUAGGCGGUCUUGCAAGUCAGAAGUGAAAUUCCUGAGCUCAACUCGGGCGCUGCUUCUGAAACUGCAGGACUUGAGUGCUGGAGGGGAUAGCGGAAUUCCUAAUGGAGCGGUAAAAUGCGCAGAUAUUAGGAAGAACACCGGUGGCGAAGGCGGCCUGCUGGACGACAACGGACGCUGAGGCGCGAAAGCGUGGGGAGCAAACAGGAUUAGAUACCCUGGUAGUCCACGCUGUAAACGAUGAAUACUAGGUGUGGGGGGACUGACCCCCUCCGUGCCGCAGUUAACACAAUAAGUAUUCCACCUGGGGAGUACGAUCGCAAGAUUGAAACUCAAAGGAAUUGACGGGG